ACAAAUAUUUUUUAUAAAUGAGUCUUUUAAGUUUAAUAUUAAUCUACAUAUUAUCUAAUUAAUUUAUGAACAAUAUAAUACUUUUAAAUUUAUAGUAUAUAGUAUAAUCAAUUUAGCUCUCCGCACAUCGGAUGGAUUUGAUGGAAGAUGGACAAGGGGUGAAAGACAGAGGAAUACCUAAGAGGACCAUCCAUGAGGUGGUCAAAUGAGAUCUACAUGUAAACGGUCUCUCUGUAGAUAUGAUACAUGACAGAGCUCAAUGGUGUCGUUUGAUUCAUGUAGCCGACCCCACCUAGUGGGACAAGGCUUUGUUGUUGUUGUUGUUGUUGCAUCGGAUGGAUGGGAGUCUAGUAUGUAUUAUUUUGAUAGUUUAAUCAGGUUUUGUCUUAAAAAGGUUCUAAAUCAAUUACAAUCAUGCCAUCAUGGAGAAUUUGUCACUGCAUGAUGAAUGUGUGCUCAUUUAUCUAAUGCUGUUAUGUUUAUUAGCCCCUAAGAAAGCCAGUCUAUAAGGCCUUUUUACCUAAUUCGAGAUUGAUUAAAUAGAA